GACGAAGGUGGCAAGCGUUAUUCGGAUUUACUGGGCAUAAAGCGCGCGUAGGCGGCUUGGCAAGUCGGGGGGUGAAAGCCCGCAGCUCAACUGCGGAACUGCCUUCGAUACUGCCGGGCUUGAGGGCGGGAGGGGUGAUUGGAACUCCAGGUGUAGCGGUGAAAUGCGUAGAUAUCUGGAGGAACACCGGUGGCGAAAGCGGCUCACUGGACCUGAUCUGACACUGAGGUGCGAAAGCUAGGGUAGCAAACGGG
rnacentral:rRNA from 1 species